rnacentral:lncRNA from 1 species
UUCUUGAAUCCAGUUCAUGAAUCGAGGGAGAUCCUUGGAUGUCUGAUGGCUGCUAUUCUGUUUCUCAAACAAUUUGAAUUCAUCAAGCCGUCACUGAAGAUUUGGAGUCACACAGUCAAGUUUAAAUCCAUGCUAUGCUAUUUAAAACUUGCAUGAUCUUGUGCUAAUUAAUCAAUUUUUGCUUCAGUUUCUGAAAUGGCUCUUGAGUUUCUGCUUUCAAGUGACCCUCAGAAAUGCCCCCAUUCACUGCAGAGGUUCUGUUUCUCCUUGUUUUGUUCCGACUUUAUGGCAGAACUAGGUUAAUGAGUUAAUUACUAUGAGUUAUCACUUGGAUUUGAAGAACCAUCAUUUCUAGGCUUUGCUGCUCAGAGUGGGUUUGCCCUCAGGGGAAGCUAUCUAACCAGAGCCUAACCCACUAGGGUUUUAUCAGAACCUAACUGGCCUGAGGAAAAGAAAUAUUCAACUCCAGCAAGCUCCAGCCUUCCAAACGGAGGAGGAGAAAACCCAAAUCCAGCCCACUUCAGCUAUCUUGUCCCACAUAAAGGGGGAGUGGAAGAAACGUGAGAAGCAGGCAUGAAGUUCACAGUCCGGAGGUACAGACACAUCAGAGUUCAGUAUCUGAUGAAUUAGAUGCAAAAUCCUCAACAAAGUAUUAGCAAAUUGAAUUCAACAAUGUAUGAAAAUUAUUACAUGCCAUGACUAAUUGGAAUUUAUCUCAGGUAUACAAGCCAUGCUGAACAUCUGAAAAUCAAUUCAUGUGAUCCAUCACAUUAGCAGAUUCAAGAAAAAAAAAACCACAUUAUCAUAUCAGUAGAUGUAGAAAAAAAAAAUUAACAAAAUCCAGCACGCAUUCACAAUGAAAAUGCUCAGUAAAUUAGAAAUAGAAGGUAACUUCCUCAACUUGACAAGGAAUAUCUCUAAAAACCUACAACUAAAAUCAUACUUAAUGGUAAAAAACUAGAAGCCUUCCCAGUAAGAGUAAGAACAAGGCAAAGAUGUAUGCUCUCACCACUCCUUUUCAACAUCAUAUUGGAAGUCCUAGCUAGUGCAAUAAGCAAAAAAAAAAAAAAAA